GACUUGGAUUCAACAGAUGCAGCCAUGUGCCUUUUGGGCCAGGAUCAAGACGUACCUCAGCAAAGCCUUAAUAUUCAACUGGAUGUCAACAGCGAGGCAGAUGAGUCUUCUUUCACCGAUGAUGAACAGCCCCUCUCAUGAGAUGAACUUCUCACGAAAAUAGCUAAUAAGUCUGCAAACAGAAAGUCUGGCCUCAAAGGGAGCAAGAAAAACACCAAGUCAAAGAAAGCAUCUUUUUUUGGCAUAGUACACAUGAUUUYACCCAUUUUGUCCWAUAACUGACAUAUUUGUGUGAAUGCCAUUUAAGGCAUUCACACCACUGUAUUCAUGUUUCUCUUUAUUAUU